UCCCCCAUUCCUUCCUUCUCGCCUGGACUGAAUCUGACACCUUAGAGAGGACACGAUUUGUCCUUCUGCCUAUCGAUUCCGAAAAAGAGAGCAGCUCCCCAGUGCCAGGGCCCAGACAACCUGCCAGGCCAUCCCACUGGAUGGUCGACUCCUCCAUGCAGGGGUAGGAUCCCCUGUCACCAUCCUUGCCUUCAGCGCAAGGAACGGUGCCUGGCACAUACCUGUUGAAUGAAUGAGGCAAUGGAAGAAUUCUAGAAGCCCAGAAGCUUUGCUAUCACAUCAUCAGCAGGUUCAGCAAUGAGUCAUGAGUCAUCCCCUGACCUGGCGGAGCCCUUACGCCAGCUGCUGGGGGCAACUUGUGUGCAGAGAGUUAAAAGAAACUGGUCCAAAGUCACAGGUCUGGGAAGGGGCAGAACCAGGAUUUGAACCCAGGCCUAUGGACUCCUGAGCCUGAGUGGCAGGUCUGUCGGUGAGGCCUCAGCCAGGCCAUCGACCUCUCUCAGGGUGCCUGUCCUUCCAUCUCUGAAAGAGCUGCUGGCCCUCUGGGAAGGCUAGGAGCACGAGGCUGGAAACCCAUAGAGCCCUUCCCCGCCGCCUGCCAGCCACCCUCCCGAGCUGCAGCAGAAGCUAUAAAAAGCACAGCCGUUCAACAAUAGGUGACAUCACCCAGCGGCGGAAAGAACUGGAUUCUGCCAGAUGCCAGGGAGAGUUAUGGCCCCUAUCUCUCCCUCAGGACGGGAGCCCCUCGGGAAAGGGCCUGGCGAGUGGCGCCCUUCUGCUGGUGAUGUUUCCGGAGCGGCACAGAGACCAGCAGGCAUAUGCUGGGCACAGACCUCCUUUCCCCCUCACAGCGGCUGCCAGAGACACGGAUCACUCUUGCCGUUACCCAGAGGAGCAAAGCUGAGGCUCAGAGAGGGCACCGUCAUGCACCAUUGCAGCCUGCUUCUAUUUGUCCGUGAGCACCUGAGGACAGUACCUGUCUCUUGUCUCUGAUUGUCCAGCUCCUUACAAGCCCGGCACGCACUAUGUGCUAGGUAUAUGACCUGAAAGACAUCCUUCAAAGGGAAUUGAUUCCACAAAAGAUGGAGGAGGGGAGGGAAGGGAAGGGAAGUCCGUUUAAUGAAGGGAAGGAAAAUGACAGGCAGAAGCUGUGUUUCCAUUCCCAGGCUUUUUAAUGCUAGAUUUUUGGGGCAUCGGAGGAAAUAGGAAGGAUCUUCCCAGUCACCACCCAUUGGCUAAGAGUGGUUAGGUCCUCAGAGGCACCUUAGGUAGGUCGUACCUCCCUGCUUUAGGUUCCUCAACUGAAUAACGAAGAAGAGAGUCCUUUUUUGUAAAGCCUCUGUUCGCGUGCCCUCUGCCUCACCAGUACGGUGGGGUUAUUUCAGAACAUGUGUCCUGCUAUGACCUCUCCCCACCCACUUCCUGUCCGAAUCACCAUCGGCUCAUUUCCAGAUCAGCUGGGUUUUUUGUGACACGGCAACGGUGAGAUGGGUAGAGAAAAAACAGACCCAAGAGAAAGUGGCAAUGGUGGAGAAAGAGAGAGAGGAAAACAGCACCCGAGGGGUACUCAGGAGAGCUCCACUGACAUUGUGCAUUGUGGGAAAAUUACAGAAUGGACGAAAAGGGUCUGGGGUGUACCAACACCAGCUACAAAUGGUCCCCAUUGCCAUUUUAUGGGGGGAUGCAGUUAGAGCUGGAAAGCCUAUUUCAAUGACUUUUGGGCUGUCCGACUAUUUCUUUAAAACGAGACUCUAAGCAGAGACUGAGCCACAUGUGACCAUGGCUUUGGUCAGGGUUACACAUGAUCUUCUUUUGGCUCUCACACACCCUGUGAUUCAGGUAUGAGGACCUUCAGGCCCAGAGAGCUUAAGCAACUCACACGAGUUUACCCGGCGGAAGGCCAAUCAGGGGUUCCUGCCGAGGGGUAACCCUCAAGGCUAAGCUUUUCGAAGCCCACUCUGCUCAUUUUGGCCAACUCCCCUCGUGCAGUCUGACCUCUAAGGGCAGACAGGCACUGCGCUCUCUGCUCCCACAGCUCACACCCCCCUCUGACAGAGCCGUCCCUUACAUCUGAUCCCAAAGGCUGCAUCUGAGCGGUCCCCGAGCAAAUCUUCUGCAUUAAGCUUUUGGCGCCCAGCCCAGCCCAGCCCAGGCAAAUCUGAGGGGCACCGAAUCAGUCGAUAGGUGGCCAUCAGCUAAAAGCAGCUUCUGGCCAGCAGCCUGUGCGGGUGAUGCACCGGACGGACAGGUUAAGCGGCAUCACUGGAGUCCACUGAGAAUGGGGCGAGGUCAGAGCCCUGCACUGGGAAAGGAAUUCGUCUUUUUAAAGCUGAGAAUGAUCCUGAUGUAAUGUACACCCCAGGUGGACCUCGCCUUACACAAUGGACACAUUCCCCAGUGGGGUGGGGAAUUACGACUGUCAGGACUAAAUCACAUUGUUGCUUAUGUGAACGGUGACCCCCUAGGGUUGUGCAGUGUGUGACCUGGUUGGCUGCACAUAAUAGCAGCCCUCAAGGGAAGAUCCCCCCACUUUCGACCUGGCAACCCUGCUUUUCCUGUUUAUAUCGUAGGGUUCUACAUAACAUUUUGUUUGCAACACGAGUUCCACUGCUAAGAAAAAAUGUCUGAAAACCAUUGUUCUAUGGAGAAAUCAAGUAAAUUAAAAAACACAAUUAUUAACCCCAGGAAGAAGGCUGUAUAAGAAAGCGAAUGUAAAUCAUAGUGAUAAUGAUUUAUGUACAACAUUUACAUAGUCGUAAUAAUAUAAAUCCUGAAUAUUUAUUUAAACAAGAGUUACACUAUAACAUACUGGGAGCACAGAGGUAGGGAAAGUGCGUGUGCGUGUGUGUGUGUGUGUGUGUAGUAAGAGGGGAGACUGAGCUGGAAGAGAGCCAGAUCCUCAAAUUCCAUAAUAGGAAGUCAACACACAAUGUCUAAGAUUUAAAAAAAAUCCAGACAAGGCAGUGAAAGCAUAUAAUUAAGAAAUAGGGGGAUAAGUGCAAAAAGAAACAGCUAAAAGCAAGGAACAGAGUUCCCCUUGGGGUGUGUAGCAAAGGGGGAGAGGGAUUGGUUACAGACAGUCGUGUGCUGGUAACUGUUUAACUGGUUCUCCAAGGGAAAAAGGCCCUGGUUUGGAGCAUUUGCCAAUCCCAGUGGCAAAAAUAUUCCCACUACGCUAAUUGUAAUCUACCAGGGUGAUGUCACCAAAAGUAGAGUUGGAAAAGCCUCACAACAGACCCAUUACGUAAGCUUUCUACCAUGUGCGUAUAAUAGACACAAGUCUCCUCAAGAGCACAGAGAGUGGUAAAGUAACCAGGGAGUAAUGAGUUAUUAACAUUCAGUACCUCUGUUUCUGAUAUAAUUUAUUUAAUUGCAAGUUUGCGUAACUUGGUUUUUAAUAACGGCCAUGUUGACCAAUCGGCGUGGCAACAGGCUCUCACAAGCCGAUACAUGCCACUUGUACCCUAGACCUCAAAGUAGCCCUGGGCUUUAUGAACUCUGGACAAUUAUCACUCCAAUGGACACAAAAAUUAAAGCCCAAAUAAAUAAAAAAAAUGCACACACUAGGCGUUCUAAAGGAAGCUGGUUCUGUUGGGUUUUUUCUUACAUGGGAACAAUCCCCACCCCAGACCCCCCCCCAAACGCCACUGUUUUCUGUUCCAAUGUCUGUGAAGUCACAGACUGUGAAAUCAUGACCUGAGCCGAAGUCACUUAACCGAUCGAGCCCCCAAGGCGCCCCCUGUUCCCAUUUCUGUAUGGGGGGGGGGGGACGACUUGAGACCCAGCGCAGGUCUGGUUAGUAACUGCCACACCACACUGCCUUCUACACUCUCAUCCUGACACACUGAUGCUAACGGUGACCCCUCCUGAGAUCAAAUUUUAUCCUCACAUAACACCUUUUACAGCUGAGGGAGCGGAGGUUCAGAAAGCGUCUAAGGAGCAGAGUCAAGGCUUUUCAGUGUUUCAUAAUGUCAGCAUCACUGUGGAGAUGGUCAGUUCACAGAACUGCCCCCAUGGUAGGGGUCUAACCUGCCGUCUGGUCUUUGAACCUCAAAGAGCGCUUCAGCCUCAACAGAACUGAGGCACAGACCUUGCUCCCUGGGGUGAGGAGGGGAAGUCCGUUCCUUGGAGUCUCUAAUCCUAUAAUCACUAGGGAAAUCUUCAUGCCGUUGGUGCGGACCUUAUCCCGGAAGCCUCAAAGAACAAAUCCAGCCCCUGCACGGAGACAGACCUUCAACAUCAAAUGUGGGGUGGCGGCUGCCAUCCACCCUGAGUCUUUUCAAGGAGGAGCCAGGUUCUGGGGGGCGGCGGGUCGUGUCUCAAAUAUACCUCAUUGACCAAAAGACAGAGUUAGUAGGGGCUGGCACACAGGCCUCUCUGUGUGGUGGAAGGGGGUGUGAAGUAGGGCAACCUUCCUGCAGGUGCAUUUGACCUAGUCUCGCAAAGACUUUUGAAAGGUUCAUAGCCUUUGGCCAAUAACUCCACUCUGGGAACUCAUCCCAGGAAAAUCAGCAGCCAAGCACGCCAAGACGUUCACCGCAUGGUUAUUCAUCAUAGCAAACAGUAUAAUCAGUCCCCAUCGGUGGAGCACUGCCCAAAGGAGUUAUAGGACACCAACAUUACAGAAUAUUAUGAGGUCACUGAAAAUCGUAUUUUCAAAGAAUAUUUAAUGACUUGGGAAUUUCUCAAGAACUAAUGGUUAGUGAAACAGUCAGAAGCAAGUUAUACCCAUACAGCGUUCCCCAUCUAUUAAAAAACACAUAGUGGGGCGCCUGGGUGGCUCAGUCAGUUGAGCAUCUGACUUUAGCCCAGCUCACGAUCUCACAGCUCGUGAGUUUGAGCCCCGCGUCGGG